rnacentral:misc_RNA from 1 species
GAUGAAGAACGCAGCGAAAUGCGAUACGUAAUGUGAAUUGCAAAUUCAGUGAAUCAUCGAGUCUUUGAACGCACAUUGCGCCCCCUGGUAUUCCGGGGGGCAUGCCUGUCCGAGCGUCAUUGCUGCCCUCAAGCACGGCUUGUGUGUUGGGCCCCGUCCUCCGAUCGCGGGGGACGGGCCCGAAAGGCAGCGGCGGCACCGCGUCCGGUCCUCGAGCGUAUGGGGCUUUGUCACCCGCUCUGUAGGCCCGGCCGGCGCUUGCCGAUCAACCCAAAUUUUUAUCCAGGUUGACCUCGGAUCAGGUAGGGAUACCCGCUGAACUUAAGCAUAUCAAUAAGCGGAGGA